rnacentral:rRNA from 1 species
ACACAUGCAAGUCGAGGGGAAACGACAUCGAAAGCUCGCUUUUGAUGGGCGUCGACCGGCGCACGGGUGAGUAACGCGUAUCCAACCUGCCCACCACUUGGGGAUAACCUUGCGAAAGUAAGACUAAUACCCAAUGACGUCUCUAGAAGACAUCUGAAAGAGAUUAAAGAUUUAUCGGUGAUGGAUGGGGAUGCGUCUGAUUAGCUUGUUGGCGGGGUAACGGCCCACCAAGGCGACGAUCAGUAGGGGUUCUGAGAGGAAGGUCCCCCACAUUGGAACUGAGACACGGUCCAAACUCCUACGGGAGGCAGCAGUGAGGAAUAUUGGUCAAUGGGCGAGAGCCUGAACCAGCCAAGUAGCGUGCAGGAUGACGGCCCUAUGGGUUGUAAACUGCUUUUAUAAGGGAAUAAAGUGAGUCUCGUGAGACUUUUUGCAUGUACCUUAUGAAUAAGGACCGGCUAAUUCCGUGCCAGCAGCCGCGGUAAUACGGAAGGUCCGGGCGUUAUCCGGAUUUAUUGGGUUUAAAGGGAGCGUAGGCCGGAGAUUAAGCGUGUUGUGAAAUGUAGACGCUCAACGUCUGCACUGCAGCGCGAACUGGUUUCCUUGAGUACGCACAAAGUGGGCGGAAUUCGUGGUGUAGCGGUGAAAUGCUUAGAUAUCACGAAGAACUCCGAUUGCGAAGGCAGCUCACUGGAGCGCAACUGACGCUGAAGCUCGAAAGUGCGGGUAUCGAACAGGAUUAGAUACCCUGGUAGUCCGCGCGGUAAACGAUGGAUGCCCGCUGUUGGUCUGAAUAGGUCAGCGGCCAAGCGAAAGCAUUAAGCAUCCCACCUGGGG